AAACAAAAGUUCACUAUCCUCGAAAAAUCUAUGUAUUGAUAAAUUUUUCGAGGAUAGCCAUGCAAAAUGUAAACUAAUAUUCGAGGAUAAGUUUUUAUCAAUGUAUUGUGUAUUUGUCGUGUCUCGUCAUGUGUGUUCGAGAGUUCCUCUAUUCUUGUAUUUACUCUUUUCUCUCCUGAUUUUGCUUUGCUUCUCUUCAUGUCCGUAGACUCUUCGCGUUGUGUGGUGGUAUUAUGUUUGUGUGUAACAACGGAACUUUCGCUGCAAGGUUGGAGGGAGGGGGUGGGCGUUCGAGUGUGUUGUUUAUCAGCUGUGAUCUGUGCGUGUGAAACUUUUUCGGUGUGCUGAAACGGAUUCAAAAAUCUGUUUGCUCUACAAAGUCGAUGAGUGCAAUCAGUUCUGCAGCCCCAUGGUGAACGUUGGGAGGUGUUGGCACGGAAGACGGAGCGGGAAAAGGUUCACGACAACUAUGCGGUGAGGAGGAUAUCCAAAUUAGCGGGUGAGCCCACGCUGUACCUCGUAGGAGAACCUGGCCAUGGGUAUCGGAGAAUGCAUAUCGUAUGCCAGGAACGUGCUUGGCCUUGAACACUGACUCUGCUCGAUCACGGGUUCCAAAUUGGUCAUUACGUUACCGGCGGCUUGCCAGCAAUCAGCAUUGGGUGUUCUUUUUCCGUUCAGUUCUUCCUACCGUCCUUCUGUGUAUAAAGUGCCUUCCAUUAACAUCUCCCGACAACAAGUUGGAGCUGCUUCUAGCACGGAUUAUGAUGGUGCUGUUGCUGAAGAGGAAUGUUGUGUUGCCUGGUUGCACUGGACAGGAUGGUUCACACAGUGUAGUCGAUCUCCUGUUGGUGUCGAUUGUUCCCUUCGAGCCGGAGGCCCAUCCCGACCGCUCAGUGCGAUAGUGUUAGGUGCUAGAAAUACAAGAUGUAAAUAUAAAAUGAUUACUUUACAUGUUAAUACAGAAGAGGUGAUUAUAUAGGUUAUAGAAUUACGGCUUUUACUUACUAAUAAAAACAUGAACGAGCGAA